AUGAGUAACCUCUUCACACCCUCCUUGUACUCAAAGCCAAUAACUGACUCAGAACACUGUGUGAACACAGAGACUUGCAAACUAAAAGAAAAGAGACCUGACUCCAUUCGGUGGGCAACUGUUUUUUUCUUUUCAAGUCUUAGUUCAUCAUCCUCAUGCCUGCCCUCACAUCAAGACCCUGCAAAUUCUCUGGCACUGUAUCAUGGACAGGUCCCGUGGAUCCAAAAGCUGAACAUAACAAAGGAACGUGGGGGGGGGGUGUUACAUCCAGAAAGAAUAUUUAAUGAAUUAGGCUGCCAGCAAAGAACCUUUCAUUUAUGAUUUAGCUCCCUGACAUCUUUGUGAUACAAUAACUAUUCAAGAGUAGUCAUAAUUGACUGCUUCCACACCACCUUAAUUACUGGCAAUUUACCAGAAUGUUACUGUUUAUAUAUUGUAUUGCUAAGAUUUUACAAUACACUAUAAUAAUAUAAGGUAAAGGUGAACAAUGCUGUAAUAUAAAUAGGCUGAAACAGGGAGGGGAAAUUACAAAUGUUUAUUUUUGAGCACAGCAUGAAACACUCUGGCAUUCUAUUCUCCCCAAAAGGGGGGUUAUUGACAUACCUGUUAAAUUACUUACAUAUGGCAGAAGAAGAGAGUAUUUAAAAAAUUCACCAUUUACUAGUCUUUAAAAAUGUGUGUACAAAGACUUAGGCUCAGACUUUGAAAAGUAUUUAGGUGCUUGACUCCCUUUGAAAUCGAUGGGAUCCAGGUGCAUAAAUACCUUUUAAAAUCUGGGCUUUAUUUACCAGGAGAGUGACCCCAAUUCAGUCAUCAUUGGCUGGCAGCUGACAUAGGUACACCAGUGAUGCCUCCUGUGGCUGAUUUAUGCCAGUGUAAACAUGUUAAACCAGUUUAAGUGCAUCUAUUAGGGAUUUGCAUCAAUUUAACUAGACUGAUUUUUAAAUGUAAUUAAACUGGUAGGAAAGUACUCUGGAAGUAAAGGCAAGGCCUUGUCUAUAUUCUCCUCUGUACUUGCAUGUCUUCUGCCUAGUACAUGAUGAGACAAGAACAACUGUCCUCCAGUGUCUAAUUUCCUGUGGAAUUUGGCUUCUCCUCUCCCCGGUGCUAUGCCUUAACAGACAACUAUCACUCGAGAGACAAGGUGGGUGAGGUCAGAUCUUUUAUUGGAUCAACUUGUGUUGGUGGUAAAAAUACAAACGUUUGAGCUACACAGAGCUCUUCUUCAGAUUACUGUGUAGCAUGAAAGAUUCUCUCUUGCCAACAGAAGUUGGUCCAGUAAAAGAUAUUUCUUCACCGACCUUGUCUCUGAGGCUUUGUC
rnacentral:lncRNA from 1 species